CUUGGUCAUUUAGAGGAAGUAAAAGUCGUAACAAGGUCUCCGUUGGUGAACCAGCGGAGGGAUCAUUAGCGAGUUACCAAAAACUCCAAAACCCUUUGUGAACCUUACCGCAGUUGCCUCGGCGUGCGCCGCGGCCGUUGGGCCUGCUGCAGCCCACCGGCCCCCCGAAACGGGGGCGGGUGGGGUUACCGGCAGGCCCCCGGCCGGCAAAACGGCCCGCCAAAGGACCCGCAAACUAAACUCUAAAUUAACAACGUACCUUCUGAAAACUUCAAACUUUUAAUGAGUUAAAACUUUCAACAACGGAUCUCUUGGUUCUGGCAUCGAUGAAGAACGCAGCGAAAUGCGAUAAGUAAUGUGAAUUGCAGAAUUCAGUGAAUCAUCGAAUCUUUGAACGCACAUUGCGCCCACCAGUAUUCUGGUGGGCAUGCCUAUUCGAGCGUCAUUUCAACCCUUAAGCCCUUCGGCUUAGCGUUGGGAGUCCGCGUCCCCCGGCGCGGUUCCCCAAAGUCAUUGGCGGCUUCGCAGCCCACUCUGAGCGUAGUAAUCAACUGUUUCUCGCUCCUGCAGUGGCCGCGGCAGCCCGCCGUAAAACCCCCCCUAUAACUUAGUGGUUGACCUCGGAUUAGGUAGGAAUACCCGCUGAACUUAAGCAUAUCAAUAAGCGGAGGA
rnacentral:rRNA from 1 species